rnacentral:rRNA from 1 species
AUCGCCUCAGCAUCUCCCGUUGUAUGAGACCUAAGGACCUGAUCUCUAGUUUCCGGAUCGGUGGCACGUGAAGAAGCACCCAUCCCGCCGGAUGACCCACUCCCGACCCCCGCCCCAAUCUCACCUUCUCUGGCUAGAUCCCGGCGGCGCCCCGGCCCCCACCUUUUCCCUUGCUGAAUCCCGAUGCCGCCCAGCCCGCCACCUUAUCCCCUGCUGGAUCCCGGUGCCGCUCCGCCCCCACCCUCUUCCUGGCUAGAGCUCGGCAUCGCCCCGCCCGCCACCUUCUCCCCGGCUGGAGCCCGGCGCCGUCCCGCCCCCCACCUUCUCCCCGGCUGGCUCAUGGCGCCGCCCCGACCCCCACCUUCUUCCCGUCUGGCACCUGGCGCCGCCCCCUGCUUCCACCCGCCAUCGCCACCACCACCUGCUUCCACGGUUCCACCCGCCACCGUCCGCCCCCUGCUUCCAGCCACCGCUGCCCCUCCGCCUUCUUUCGCUGGUGGACCAACCUCGCUGCCGUGCUACACGGUCAAGGUCGCGCGGGAGACGUCGUCCCUAGCCCAGCCGAUGUGGCCCGGCACCCUGACCACCGCCAUGCCCCUGCGCCUUGACUAUCGCCGAUGUCCAACGCCACGGUGCCUCCCAUGGCGGCCGUUCACUGCCGCCACCCUGGGCCGUUCAACAACACAGCGCCGAGCCGUUAAACGCCGCAGCUCUACCACCAUUCGCAACUCCGACUUUCAUGGUUGCAGCAAGAACAAGAUGCCAAAGUAAAAGUCUCCAAAAAAGCCUAAUCUUUGCAUCUUUCGGUACUCACUCAAGUGAAGUCUCGAUUUCUUCUAAAUCUGAAGUUCAAGUUCUCUGAAACAUUUGGCAAUAGUUCGGCGAAAAGGUUUACCUCAGUACAAAAGUCCUUGUUGGGAUGAGAGGGAUGACUAGAAUGCUCUGGGAAAUAUCUUUACUUGACCCAGAGGCGAUUACAGACUAUACACAUGAUACUUUUACUGGGACCAGAGUAUUACUUACAGGCAAGUUCAAAAUAAAACCCGGCACUCCUCAUUCUGUGAAUGUGUGUGUCAUGACAUCUUGUCUCUGUGUUGCAUCAUGUAGGAUCCAAAAGGUGAAAAGAUCCCUGCAGAUCUCUGCAAUCUCUCAAGUUUAUUUCAUUUUGAUUCGUCCAGGAAGUAGGACAAGCGACCGCGAACCUCAUCCACCCCAACGGAAUAUUAUCCGUGAAUCCAAGAACACCCAUCGAUCCCUCUCUUUCUCUCUCACCUUCUCCCACGCGUGCGCCGCCCCACCCCGUGUCUCUAUCCCUUCACCCUCUGCUUCUUCCACGCGUAGCACCAAACCCACCGCCUCGUGCUCUUCCUCCACCUCCACUUUUCUGGAGCACCAAAGUCACACGCGAGGGCCCACCAUCCUCACAGAGAUGGAUCUCAACGGAGCGGAUCUAGCCUCCCUGUCGCCUCCUCCACCGGGAGCGACGACAUCCUCCACCAAGAUCUGCGUGGGGAGGCUGAUGUUCUCGACGGGCAGGAGCACUCGCCGACGUGCUCCAUCUCCUUGUUUGCCACCUCCGUCGAGAGCCGCGUGAUUGUCGCCUUCGAGAGCGCGGCUGCAGCCCAUCCAUGGUGUGCAUCCAGAGCCUUGCGACGACAUCACCAAGUCGGCGAGCAUUGGAUCCACACCUCCGGUGAGCAGUGUCUCCCCUUCCCGUAGUCUGACAAGACACCAUGGACGCCCCCGUCAUAGUCCUUGUGGGCCGGUGGAUGAGGCAGCUAGCCCAAGGCGAGCUAGACGAUGCGUGCACGCCGAGCGACCACAACAGCGGCUGCUCGUUCAGGUCAACCACCACGCGUGCAGGCCACCAUGGUGUCCGUCGCGACCGUUGAUGGCCUUCGGGCCUGAUCUGCAGAUCGGCGGGAUACGGCAUGGUGGGUAGGAGGUGAGCUGGCCGUGGUGGGGAGGAGGAGCAGUUAUGGCGGGAGAGAGAUUGCCGUUGUGAACACAAACCGCAAAAAAAAACAUCCACAUCAACGUUGUUGAAAUUGAAGUUGUCCAUGAGGUGAGCGUAAUGCAGUCCCCCCUCCAAUCCUUCUUGCAAUGCUUUUGAUGAUUCGUGAUCCUGGAGUAACAAGUAGAAUUUGAUGGAUGGAUUAUUACACCUAUGUAAUUGCGGUGUUGCCGAGCUUCCCUCUUCUUGCUUUGUUUCUGCAAACAUAACCUCCUGGUUUUGUACCUUUUUAGAGAGAUUGUUGGUGUGAUAUAAAAAUUGUUUGACUCGUAUUUUAGUGCAGACAAAAGCACAUCCACGGGCCAUGGCAAAAUUUUCCAGACGCUAAACCAGGAGAAUUAUGGCUUAUUUUGUCUAAACUUCUAUUUUUAUGUUCACGAGCUUGGAUGCUAAAUUGUAUACUAUAUAAUUGUUUGUACAUGACUUUGCAACUUUCCUAACCGGACUUUGAUAUUUACAAUAUUCGAAAACACUUUUAACUUUUGAAAUGUGAUGCUUGUGCUCCUGCACCGAGUUUUAAUCUUCUGAAAGUUGACUAGUGAAUCUUUGAUGGAUAUUUUGAGCUCAUUUUCUGGUCAUGCCUGAAACACUUUUAACGUUUGAUUUUGCUAAUUUUCGGGAGAUGUAAAUCUGAAUAAAUAUUGUAAGUGAAACAUUGAAUGAACUGUUAUCUGAAU